CCUACGGGUGGCAGCAGUGAGGAAUAUUGGUCAAUGGACGAGAGUCUGAACCAGCCAAGUAGCGUGAAGGAUGACUGCCCUAUGGGUUGUAAACUUCUUUUAUAUGGGAAUAAAAUGUUCCACGUGUGGGAUUUUGUAUGUACCAUAUGAAUAAGGAUCGGCUAACUCCGUGCCAGCAGCCGCGGUAAUACGGAGGAUCCGAGCGUUAUCCGGAUUUAUUGGGUUUAAAGGGAGCGUAGGUGGAUUGUUAAGUCAGUUGUGAAAGUUUGCGGCUCAACCGUAAAAUUGCAGUUGAAACUGGCAGUCUUGAGUACAGUAGAGGUGGGCGGAAUGCGUGGUGUAGCGGUGAAAUGCUUAGAUAUCACGAAGAACCCCGAUUGCGAAGGCAGUUCACUGGACUGCAACUGACACUGAGGCUCGAAAGUGUGGGUAUCAAACAGGAUUAGAUAACCUAGUAGUC
rnacentral:rRNA from 1 species